ACUUGAAUGAUUUAAUUAAUUAGGAUUUUUAUGUUGUAAUGAUUAAAUUAGUAUUUUAAUUAAUUAAGUUAUAGGAACUCGGCAAAUUUAGUGUUCGCCUGUUUAACAAAAACAUGUCCUUUUGUUUAUUUAUUUAAGGUCUGACCUGCCCAAUGAGGAAUUCAAUGGCCGCAGUAUUUUAACUGUGCUAAGGUAGCAUAAUCAUUUGUCUUUUAAUUGAGGGCUGGAAUGAAAGGUUGGACGAAAUACUUACUUUCUUUAAUUUAAUUUUAAGAAUUUAAUUUUUGGGUUAAAAAGCUUAAAUUUAUUUGUUGGACGAGAAGACCCUAUAGAUCUUUAUAAUUUUAUAUUUUAAUAAUUUAGUGGUUAUAUUUAUUAUAAGUAAAAGGAUUAUUUUGUUGGGGUGACUGUAGAAUUUUAUAAACUUCUAUUAUUUUUAUUUCAUUGAUUAAUGUUUUUUUGAUCCAUAUAUUUAUGAUUAUAAGAUUAAGUUACCUUA
rnacentral:rRNA from 1 species